UCGGGGAUCGUCUAAUGGCAGGACAGCGGCCUUUGACGUCGUUAAUCUAGGUUCGACUCCUAGUCCCCGAA
rnacentral:tRNA from 4 species